rnacentral:rRNA from 1 species
UACGAAGGGGGCUAGCGUUGCUCGGAAUGACUGGGCGUAAAGGGCGCGUAGGCGGAUGGCACAGUCAGAUGUGAAAUUCCCGGGCUUAACCUGGGGGCUGCAUUUGAUACGUGUUGUCUUGAGUUCGGAAGAGGGUCGUGGAAUUCCCAGUGUAGAGGUGAAAUUCGUAGAUAUUGGGAAGAACACCGGUGGCGAAGGCGGCGACCUGGUCCGACACUGACGCUGAGGCGCGAAAGCGUGGGGAUCAAACAGG